GGCAAGGUGGCUCAGUGAUAGAGUGCUUGCCUUGCAUGCAUGAAGCCCUGGGUUCGAUUCCCGAUCACCA
rnacentral:tRNA from 1 species